AUUGAACGCUGGCGGCAGGCCUAACACAUGCAAGUCGAACGCGUGGCGGACGGGUGAGUAAUGUCUGGGAAACUGCCUGAUGGAGGGGGAUCACUACUGGAAACGGUAGCUAAUACCGCAUACCAUCGGAUGUGCCCAGAUGGGAUUAGCUAGUAGGUGGGGUAACGGCUAACCUAGGCGACGAUCCCUAGCUGGUCUGAGAGGAUGACAAGCCACACGGGAACGGAGACACGGUCCAGACUCCUACGGGAGGCAGCAGUGGGGAAUAUGGCACAAUGGGCGCAAGCCUGAUGCAGCCAUGCCGCGUGUAUGAAGAAGGCCGUCGGGUUGUAAAGUACUUUCAGCGGGGAGGCGGUACCCGCAGAAGAAGCACCGGCUAACUCCGUGCCAGCAGCCGCGGUAAUUC
rnacentral:rRNA from 1 species